rnacentral:rRNA from 1 species
UACGGAGGGUGCGAGCGUUGUCCGGAAUCACUGGGCGUAAAGGGCGCGUAGGCGGCAUGCCAAGCGUGUGGUGAAAGCCCGGGGCUCAACCCCGGGUCGGCCGUGCGGACUGGCGUGCUCGAGCACUGUAGGGGAGAUCGGAAUUCCUGGUGUAGCGGUGAAAUGCGCAGAUAUCAGGAGGAACACCGGUGGCGAAGGCGGAUCUCUGGGCCAUUACUGACGCUGAGGAGCGAAAGCGUGGGGAGCGAACAGG